CACCAGGUAGGAGGCAGCGGCUGGGUCACCUGCAAGACAGGAAGGAGGAUCAGCCCUUAGCAGAGGAGGAGCAGGUCCUCAGCACUGCUGUGGGUUGCAGGGUAUUGCAAAAGAGGCUCAGAAGCCAGACGAGGGCAAUGAGUGUAAGGAGAGGUGGUGUAAUGGGGAGGAGGCUGUCCUGGCUGUGUCACGGGCUCUAAUUAACCCCAGGGCUGGCAGCCAAGGCAGAUGGCAUCAGCCCUGGGGCACAGCCUGCCACACCCCUCUCUGCACACAGACUGGGGUUCUCCUUGCAGGCACAUCUGCACCCCCAGAGGGAGCAGCCACGGGCAGGACUGGGACCAGCAGGUCUGACAGAUCCUGGUGAAGCUCACACCUCUUCAGCAUGUCAGAGCACUCAACAGGAGAGAGCAGCCCUGUCAGCAGCACUAGCCAUGCCUUGGCUGAGCUCAAGACAUGAAUGCUCCCUUUGCAGGCCUCUGUACUGCCAGGCAUGGACAUGCUGCUUCCUCAGCUCCAGGAACUGCGUACCUCGCCCAAUGAGAGAGAGCAACCUGAUCUUCUGGAGCACCUCCACUUCUGGCUGGAGAUUCUCUGCCACAGGAAGACACACACACCUGAAGACAGCAUCCUCCAAACCUUCUCUCCCCUGUUCCCAGCAGGCUGAGCCAGGUUAGCAGUCAGGACAGGCCAAGCAUUUACUGUGGGCUGCUCAUCCUCCAGCUCUGGAGACACAUGGCAAAGCUCAGCCUCUCUGCCAGGCCGGAAGAGGUCGGCAGGCAGCAGAGGGCGAGAGUGAAGAAUGCCAAGAGCCCAGAAUGUUACAUGCCUGUGAACAGUAGCCUCAGCAGCAGCCUGGCCUUUGGCUGUCCCUUUGCACCACUGGUAUGUAUCUUUUCCCCAAAAACUGAACUGGAGAAGCUUUCCAGUUCACAGCCCCUUUAACUGCUACCUAGGCAGUGAAGGAGGCAGAGCCAAGGCCAAACUCUGCUCCAAAAAACAACAGCUAGUCUCUUCAGAGGCUUUAGCAUGGCCCGAGCUUUGCACCCUGGGACAACUGCCUCUUGCCAGAGUGAUGCCCACCGCCUUGCCCCUGUACCUGCUGCUGCCAAGCACAAGAUCCUGACCCCGUCAAGGCCCCACACGUGUGCUGCUUGUGUGGUGUCCUACCUGUCCAUUUGAUGCCAGACCCAUGAAGCUGGACACGCAGGAGAUCACUGAGGCACCUGUGGGUAGGAGGCCAGAGGAGCUUUGGAGCCACUCCUGGGCUCUCAGGAGUGCCAAGUUGUCAGGGCAGCUCCAGUGCCAGGCUGUGUCCUGCCCUUGCCCCACCAUCCACUGCUGCCUGCUGGGGAGGCUUUAUCACCUGCUGAACUGUGUUACAGCUUCCUUGCUCUCUCCCAGCCUGGCCCUUGCCCAGCCCUGGUACAGGUAUCCAGCUGCUCUCCAGGCAAGGCAGCACAGGCUCUCCUUCUUCUGGGACAGGAGUGCACCUGCCAGUUCUGCCCCUGGCAACGAGGAAUCCGGCUGCUCCAGCCUCUCCUCCACUCGUAACACCCGUGGAAUGAGGUCAGUUGUCCGGCUGAUGACCUCCUCACACACAGUUAUGGCAUCCUGGUGCCUCCCAGCCUGCUCCAAGGCAGAUGCUGCUUCCAGGAACACCUCUGGGAUCCUGGGCAGAGCUGAGCUACCAUCCAGGGGCACCUGGGGAGCAAAAGUGACAUCAGUGCUGCAGAAGUGCAGAGCUCUCUGCCAAGCAGCAUGACUCUGUGCAUACUGGAACAUGGAACUGCUGCCCAGCAAAGCUCAAGGCCUCUCCCACAGUCACUGGAGCCUGGUGGAGCAGGCAGAAUGGAAAGCACUCACAUCUCAUAGAGUCAAGGCACCAAGUCCUUACUCUAGAAGUGGAGGACAUCCAAAAUCAGCUGACAGCUGCUCCCCAGAGGGAAGGGGAAGCUGUCUCUCCAAACAGCAGUGGUGAGUGCUCUCUGGUGUGAAUCCAAAGGCAGACAUGCCACAGGUCGGGAAUGCCAGCCCCUACUUCAUUUCCUUUACAUCAGCCCCUAUCUCAUGUCCUUCACAUCUCAAACCAGACACUGAAGCCUGGAGUGCAGGGCUGAUGCCUGGGCCCAGCCCUUGGGACUGGGUUUGGAUCCCUCCAACCCUCAUCCUCCAAGUCACCAAGGGAGCUCUUUACCAGGACACCUACCUGCUGCUGCAGCCCCUCCUGAAGGAGGGACAGAAAAUCCAGGUAAUGUUCCACUGCAUCAUCCACCCUGCAACAGGAACAGGGCAUGUGGUGGAAGGAGAAGUGCCAUCAGCCAGGUGAAACCUGGACUGCCAGCCCGCAGUCUCUCCCCCUGCACCACACUCUCCAUGCUUUGAGCAGGCCUACAACAGCAGCACUGAACUGGGCCAUUUCCAGGAGCACAGGGAAAACUGCAGAGCCCAGACCAGCAGCGUGGUGCAAGCAGCCCAGAGGCACUGUUACCUCCCAUCCUGGAGACAGCGCUGUGCCAGAAGGUACUUCACUUCAGAGGGGUGGCGAUGGCGAAGGAGGGAAGGGAGCACUGGUGUGCGGACAAGCAGCUCUGUUCGCAUUAGGAAAUGGGGACUAGAGGAAGCAGCUGCUGGAGGGGAUUUUCCCAGAGCCUGUGAAACAGGAACAGAAAAGAUGAUCAACAUCACACUGGUCAAGUCUCAGGCAGCUGCAAUCUUUUGUCACUUCUGACAUCUGGAGAUGCACACAGGCGAGCAGAAGUGCUGCACUUCACAAGCACAACCACAUUGUUCUCACAGUGGCUUCCAGCAAGAGCCAUGAGGAUCACACAGGGGCAGGCAGACUUCUGUUCUCCACAUGGCACCAGGAGAUUUGCAAGAUCACCCAGAUCACCUCGGGUUUUUAGCUGAGCUGCCUGGAACACCAUCUCCCAUUGCAGCCUCAGACCUAGUUAGACCAUUUGUAAGGAGAGAGUUCCCUCUCCUCUCUGUAUGUAUCUGACAGUUUUCAAACAGCUGAAGAGAUAAUUCAGGGUCUACUGCUGUGACCUCUCCCAGGCAGCUUCACCCAGCUAAUGCACUCUGCCUCACUGCAGCCAAAAUCUGCCCUUAAAAGUCUCUGUACUAUUGCAUACUUUACUAAGAGAUUGAUACUUUCUGACCUGAGAGUUUAACCUCCCAAGCCACCACAAACAUGAACUAGGACCCAAGGUCUUGCCACAUCCAAACGUGGUGCUGACAGGAAUUUCAAAUCUUGCUGGACUCCUUCCUGCCCACUCGCUGAAGGCAGCACUGUGCUAUUUUGGGGACUCCCUCCGGGUCAAACAGCCCCCAAAAGGAAGAAGCCUGCUUUUGAAGCUCCAUGCAGGCUCUGCUGGGAGACUCAUUCUGGCAAAACUCAUCCCAGAACUACAGGAACCAGACAAACCUCGUAGAGUAGGGUCAGGGCCUGCAGCUCUGCAUCGGUCUCUCCCAGUUCAUGGUACACUGCUGCCACGUGGGACAGGGCAGGAAGGCACUGGAAAUCUACCUGGAGUGCCCGCUUCAGGUGCUGAAGGGCUGUCUGAGGCUUGCCCUAGGUGGAUGGGAAGACAUGCAUGUUGAAAGCACAUCCCGCUGAAGUCUCUAGCAUUUGGUAGAAUCCAGAUUCUUGCUCUGCUUCCCCAAGAGAUCCCCACUAAGCAGGGCAGCAAUUUAGCCAAAGGCAGCCCUCCUCAGGUUGGUUUUUGAGCUUCUCUCUCUGCAACAACACUUUGCAAUCAGCCAAAAUCUUGUCAUGGAUUUUGCAGCCUGUCCAAGGAGGCUGGGGCCACAAGGGCAACUUCUGCUCAAGGUCUUCCCUCCCUGAGAGGCCUUGGAUCACACAGAGGCAUUGUGAGCCUGAGCCUCCCCACCCCACAGCUGCCUUUCCCCUCUUUGCUGUCAUUACCAUUCGCUGAGCGCAGCAACCGAGGCAGGUGUAGAUCUGGGCCAGGAUAUUCUUGGAGCAGAAUCCUCCUGCAGCUUCCUGAAGGAGGGAGAGGGCAGUGGGGAAGUUCCCAGCCUCCAGCUCCUGCAGCCCUAGGACAGACCCAACAUAUUGGCUCUGUGGCUCACUAUUGUGUCCCACCUGGCCCCAAACAAAUGUGGUGCCCUUUUCUUCCCAGAGCCAUAGGGAUUUGCCUGAUGCACAGCCUGACAGUGCCAAGCUGCCAUCUUUGCUUUAGUGCUUUUGCAAGAGAACAAGCUACUCAGUGGAAAUGUCCAGCAGAAAUAACAGCAGCUUCCAAGCCCAAGAUGUUUUGUUUGGCCCAGAACAAGGACAGGGGCAUGUGCUGGGCAGGUUCACCUCCACGUUCCUCCACAAUGACAGCAGUGCAGAUAGGGAAGCACACACAGAACUUCAGAUUUUUUUUUAGCACAUCUGGGUCAUUUCCCAGCAGGAUGCUUUGGGAUAUCAAUUAAUUAAUAUUUAUUACAACUUGUUAUUUGCCUUUUCUUCAGUCUUCUUUGCAGGCUGCCCUCUGAGGCUGCUCUCACACAGCAGCACCACACUCACAUCUGCCACUUCCCUGCUGGAAGUGCUGGUACCACCCUUGACUAUUGGCUCCAGCUCUGUGGGCCAGAGCUCCUGCCCUGCCUCCUGGCAGGAAGGCCCUGUAGGAGCCCAAGCACAGCAAAGCAGGGCUGGCUGUCCCUGGAGCUGCUGGUGUUGUCAAAAACAGUAAAGGAGAGAAAACAUCCAGGGUGGAACACAGCAGCCAGAGGAGAUGCACUGCUUGCUGUGACACCGGGCUAGAAAGCCUCACAACAGCUUUGUGUGGCUCUUGCAGCACCACAGUCUGACAGGAUCAACAUGCUUGCAACAAGACAAGUUCCAGAAGAAAAGAAAAUCUUCAUAAAUUCCCUGCCAGCUUUCUGCUUUAAGGUCACUGCAGGGCCCAGACACCUCCCCUACAGUCACAGACAGGCAGAGGAACCCUGUGAUAGUGCAGAGAAAGGAUGAGCUGGGGAAAAGCAGGGAAGCUUUUUGAAUAUGGAAUGUAAAGGCUGAGACUCAGAGGCUCAGCCCAGACCCUCUCCCAAAGGAACAGCCCGAAAAACCCCAAGGACCAGUUUGCUUGGGAAGAGAAACCAGGAUAAGGGCAGGGAAAGUGGUCCUGGGACAGAGCAGCAGGACAGUGUGCUGGCCUGAGUUCCUGUCCCCCACAAACCUUGCAGGAAGGCUGCUGCAGUGCAGAGGAUUUCCUUCAAGUCCUUGGCGCUUUGUACAAGGGGCAGGGAGGCCCCCUCAGGAGGGACCCGCCAUGCCUUGAUCAUGGAGAGGAGUUUGUUCUGCCCUUCACUGCAGUGGGCUCUUCCUGGGUCCUGUGAAGGCACAGAGGGAGCAGGGAAUGCUGAAGGGAUGCAGGAAACACUGGUCCAAGUGCACAGAGAAACAGGUCCCACCAAACCACUCAACACUGCUCCCUGCAGUGGGAGCAGACUGGGGAGCAAUGUCCUACCAUCUGUUCCCUUCAAAAACAACCCCCUUACUGCAGUGAUUCCUGCCUGGCCUGGGGCAGCACCUCCCCACCUCAGAGUGGGGUGCACCUCCAGGGCCUCCUGGCAUGCAACAGAGCUGCUGGAGUGCAUUCAGAAAGACAGGACCCAUCAGCAGGGAAGGUUCUGCAUCCCACUGCUGUUCCCUACAGAGUCUGCAAGUCCAUCUGCAGACCUCUUCCAGCCUGCCCAAGCCUCCUGUCUGACACACAGAGAUCCAGGGUCCACACAGGCAGAAUAUUCUGGGAUCCAUUAGCACUCUCAGGGCCAUCAGGCUGUGCUGGGAUGCCACGGGGCAGAUUAGUCAUGCUGACUGGGCUCAGCUGUCCAAGUGCCACAACAACAUUUUGCAGAGUGAGUUUUAUGACAAACACAGUAUUUAUGCCAGCUCUGUUGGCAUCUGCCUGUGCCCAGUUACCUCAGCAGUGCUCAGGAGCUGGAAGAGGCCAGCAACACUUCCCAGCUGGCUGGCUGCCAGCCACCAGGCUGCUUGCAGGGCCCCAAGGCGGUGCAGAGGUGCCUGCAGCUCCUCCACGGUUACCUCCUGCAGCACCUUCUCCCACAGCUCCUCCGUGCCAAGAUCCUGUCCGCAGGCCCCACAAACCUCCAGAACUGAAAAAAAAAAAAAAAAAACCAAGCAAAAAGACCUACAGCUGUGAGACAAUGCAUUGGUGCCCUGUGACAGACACUCUGGAUGCAAGAGGGAGAGAAAGCCUCAAACAAGCACAGGCUCCUCAUAGUGAUGGAAAGAAUGGGAUUGCAGGGCUGGCCUGGCCUCAGCAGAAUGGAAAACAAGCUCUAAGAGAGUGGAGCUGACAGCAGCACACUCAGGAGACAAGACACAGCACAACUCAGAGCUAGACCCAGCUCUGCCGAGCCCUCUUGGAGUCAUUUGCCCUCAGGUAAGCAUGUGCCAACACUGCAGAUCCACCUCUGAACUGCAGCCUGUUUGAGUGAGCUUUCUUUGAAGCUAGCACACCGUAAUUAAAGAAAACAGUAAUUUUCUACUGUCACUAAAACUUUGCUAGAGACUCAGAA